CAUGUCUAGUAUAAACUGCUUAUACUGUGAAACUGCGAAUGGCUCAUUAAAUCAGUUAUAGUUUAUUUGAUGGUACCUACUACUCGGAUAACCGUAGUAAUUCUAGAGCUAAUACGUGCGUAAAUCCCGACUUCUGGAAGGGACGUAUUUAUUAGAUUUAAGGCCAACCGAGCUUGCUCGUCUCUUGGUGAAUCAUGAUAACUUCACGAAUCGCAUGGCCUCGCGCCGGCGAUAUUUCAUUCAAAUUUCUGCCCUAUCAAUUGGCGAUGGUAGGAUAGAGGCCUACCAU
rnacentral:rRNA from 1 species